GAGUGGGCGUCACGCAAGCAUCGGGCGCGUGGCGGGACGGCGCGUCCCGUGUCUCGCGUCUACGGGCUACGGGACGAGACGGGCGCGGGCUCGGGACGGGAUGAUCGUUGCAACGGGUCCCGCGGAGGACCCGUCCCUCCGGGACGCGUAGUGGAUGGUCUAAAUCUAGUAUGUCUUUACUGUACUGAAUGACCUAAUCUUUUUCCAUUGGGAGUGUAUGUGGCUUACUGGAAAAAAUAGAUUAGGUUCUUCUCAGCAAUAAAUAGCUUUAAGUUUCGUGCUUCAUGCUGAUGACAUCCCUCGUAAAUGUUUGUUUUCAUUGCUGAAGAAACGAGAGAAGCCUAGGCAACUGCAAGGUUCCUGUGGGUCAUUGGAUCUUGAGAUGGAGAAUCUUUUGGAAGACUCAGUUAUGUGCUACUCAUCCUCGCAGCAUUGCUGAAAGGGUACUAGAAGACUAGCUAAACCCUAGUUCAACUACAAGACAAGUCCAACAACAUACAAUAAUGCAUAACUGAUUCAUGCUCCUCAUUAACUCUCGGAUGUACAAGAUGCAGGUAGGGUGCACAAGCUUAUCAAGACCCUUUGACCAAGCACCCUUUCCACGUUGGAUAAGUGAGAUGAGAACCCAUGGCUUUACUACAUGAUGUGUCUUCUUUCUGCUUUACACUAAGAAGUAGACGUAGAUAUUUUGAUGUGGGGACUUAUGAUGUGAAUUGAUGUCUUACUAUAUAACUGGUGAACUUUAUUCAAGUCAAAAUUGGAUAUCUUUCAGCAUUCGUAUUGGAGUGCUGUAGAACUAAUCCUUUCGCUUUUUAAAUGAGCAACUGCCUAAAUGAUUUAACUCCAUUCCUUUUACAAACUGGUUUCCAAAUUCUCAAGAGUUUAAAACUGUUAUGAUGCUGUCUUUUGAUUUUACUGUUUGCAGCAAACGAACACUGCAGACAUGUUAGAAGAAGCCGUAGCUUAUGUCAAACCUGCAGAUAGAGAUCCAGGAUCUAGAGCAUCAAAAGAAAUACAGAUGCUCAACAAAUGAUUGAACAAUUGGAUUGGACAUUGUACAGUGAAGAUACAAAGUUAUGAUUUUUGCUCGAUGCUCGAUGCUAGUUUCCACUGCUUGUUUGAGCUGUAACAUAUUGUACAAAGUGGUACUAGUAGAAGUCUGAUGUGCAAAACCAGUAGCUGCCAUCUCUCAUGAAUAAUCACUACUGCCGCUGUUAGAG